AUUUUGGAUACCGUCCUCGCUGCGGAAAGUUGGGGCAACCUGUUGCUAGUCUGGUCGUUGGUGACAGCGAGGCUUCCGCGCUCGCUGCUGGUGGCCAACUGACGAACUGUGUUCACCUGAUAAGGAGUCGUGGCUGCUUGGACAGGCUCAAACCAAGAGAGCCUUUCGUUUUGUCUCCCCUGUUUUUCUGCCUGCGUUUUCUCCACAUUAGCCACUCAAUUUCCAGUACCAUCCUGGCGGAUGACUUCAGCAUUAGAUGGUCAGGUGUAUUUUUUUAUUAAUAGGCGCAUUCAGUUUGGAAAAGACAGCUUUUCAUUAAUGUCCCACGUAAAGGAAUAUGGCCUAUACAGUACGUACGCUGCUGCGUGGUCAUAUUUGUUCCUGUGAUCUUAUUGUAUUUUCAAAGUUUGGAAGUAUACUCGUGUGCUUUGCUGUUUUUUUAUGCUUCCUGGAAUUUGGGGACUCAUGAGAGACUUGAGGUUAGAGUUCUGCAAGUGAGAAGACACUACAUGGUUGCAGCUGCCACAUGAAGAACCCAAGCUCCUGUCAAAGUUGUGAAUGCGACUUUGGAUGAGAUUAAGAAGGCCCAGUGGACGGUUGGUCUUGAAGAGUGGCAGUGUGUGGAUUUGAGGACCUCUGCAGACCAUCAGAUCAAAGGAGGGAGAGCUGUUUUGGGUGUUUUGUUUUUUUUGUUUUUAUAGCAUUUUGCUUUUUCUUGGAAUGUAAUUUUCCUAUGGCAUGUUAACUGGUGCACAUCGUGUAACCUGUCUGGUGAGCAACCUACAAUUGGGAUGAGUUCUAGGUACAUGUGUUUGCUGACUUUGGGGUAAACAACUUUGUUAUAAUACAGUCUCUGCCACAGAUGCAUGUGACCUCUUCAGGGGCCCAGAGUGGCUGAGGAAGGAAAGCUUCAAGCUGGCCAUGGGGGUCCCAAACAGUCAUUCCAGGCUUAGAUGAUGACUAGCCUAGGUCAUCAGAGCCCAGACUCCACAGAGACUAAAAUCAGAGCUCUGUCUUGUUAUGAUAAAUUUCAUUUGCUUGGAAAAAGAAAUGCUGAAAGCCAGUGUUUAGAAUCUUUGUGCAGAUGACCAAAGCAAUUGACUUGGCCAAGAAAAGGUAAGGUAAAUAAACAUUUUUCAAAAUGAGUUUCUCCUUGAUAGUGGUCACUGUCAAAUGGAGGAGAAUUGCUUCUGACUCACGAGUUGUUCAAAGCCUGUAGCCCAGGGUGGGGUUUGAGCUGCAGAAGAAGAAGAAGGCAGACCUAGAGUAGGAAAGGGGUGCCUCAUGAAGCCAUAUGGUCUGGCCCCAGCCUUUGGAGAGGUGAAGUCCAUU
rnacentral:lncRNA from 1 species